ACCACUUUUAGGUCUUUUUGUAAUCGGUCCCUUGGUGGUUAUUCAAAUUCUGGCAUUCAUCAUUUACAUCAAGAGAAAAACAUCAAGAACACCAGAAGCAGAAAAUGGUGGAACUUCAGUCUCACAAAACUCCAAGUUUGAGACUUACGAUAAUACCUAUGAAAAUAUUAACAUUUAUGAAAAUUUUAACUGACAAAAUGAAGAUCUUCAUUCUGACAGUUUGAUUGUGAAGAAUGUGACUAGACACGAAGACGCUGAACCCCAGG